AUGGUACCAUCAAACCCCUCAUCUUCUCUCCAUUCUCAACGACUAUCUCUCUCUCAUCUCCCCAUCUACUCUCAUGCUAUCUCUCUCAUCUCUCCUCUCUUCCCCUGCAACUCAGAUCUGGAGGAGAGAGUGACACCAGAGAAAUAUCUCGCCCAAACUGUACUAUUGUUCUUCCACAAAACCGAAGCCAAGCCAAAGUCCACCAUAUCCAAAAAUUUAUAG
rnacentral:lncRNA from 1 species